AUUGAACGCUAGCGGGAUGCUUUACACAUGCAAGUCGAACGGCAGCGCGGACUUCGGUCUGGCGGCGAGUGGCGAACGGGUGAGUAAUGUAUCGGAAUGUGCCCAGUAGCGGGGGAUAACUACGCGAAAGCGUAGCUAAUACCGCAUACGCCCUACGGGGGAAAGCAGGGGAUCGUAAGACCUUGCACUAUUGGAGCGGCCGAUAUCGGAUUAGCUAGUUGGUGAGGUAACGGCUCACCAAGGCGACGAUCCGUAGCUGGUUUGAGAGGACGACCAGCCACACUGGGACUGAGACACGGCCCAGACUCCUACGGGAGGCAGCAGUGGGGAAUUUUGGACAAUGGGGGCAACCCUGAUCCAGCCAUCCCGCGUGUGCGAUGAAGGCCUUCGGGUUGUAAAGCACUUUUGGCAGGAAAGAAACGUCGCGGGCUAAUACCCCGUGGAACUGACGGUACCUGCAGAAUAAGCACCGGCUAACUACGUG
rnacentral:rRNA from 1 species